UGACCCCAGGUCAGGCGGGACUACCAUCUGAGUUUAAGCAUAUAAAUAAGCGGAGGAGAAGAAACUUACAAGGAUUCCCCUAGUAACGGCGAGCGAACC
rnacentral:ncRNA from 1 species